GCGAGAAGGGCGAGAUGCUUGCAUUGGACCCGGAAAAGCGGUCGUAANGGGAGAGUAACGCGUGGAUACCUACCCCCGGGACCGGGAUAGCGGCGGGAAACUGCCGGUAAUACCGGAUAACGUCCCUGGACCAAAGGUGCGAUUCCGCCUGGGGAUGGGUCCGCGUCCUAUUAGCUUGUUGGUGGGGUAACGGCCUACCAAGGCGAAGAUGGGUAGCGGGUGUGAGAGCAUGGCCCGCCUCACUGGGACUGAGACACUGCCCAGACACCUACGGGUGGCUGCAGUCGAGGAUCUUCCGCAAUGGGCGCAAGCCUGACGGAGCGACGCCGCGUGCGGGAUGAAGGCCUUCGGGUUGUAAACCGCUGUCAGAGGGGAACAAAUCCAUGAGGGUUCUCUCUCAUGGUUGAGUGAUCCUCAGAGGAAGCGCAGGCUAAGUUCGUGCCAGCAGCCGCGGUANCNCGAACUGCGCGAACGUUAUUCGGAAUCACUGGGCUUAAA
rnacentral:rRNA from 1 species